AUGGGGGUGGAACUCAUGAUGGAACUGGAGCCUUUACAAGGGAAUGAAGAGACAAGAGCUCUCUUUAUGCCACGUGAGGAUACAGCAAGGCCCCAAUCUGCAAGCCAGGAAGAGUCCUCACGAGAACCAGACCAUGCAGGAACUCUGAUCGUGGACAUUUCAACCUCCAGAACUGUGAUCCAAAAUGCAUAUGUAUCUUUAGAAGAAACUCUGAAGUAAAGGCGAGAUUCUUUGUUUAAAACAUUAAAAACAAAACAGACCAAAACAUCAAGCAAGAAGUUUCCUGGCAAUAAACUAAGCACAGCAUUAUUUUUUAAGGAACACAAAUUAAGUAUUCAACCUGUGGCAAAUUUGUACUUUCUCCCUGAAUUAUGUUGUUUUCAAAGAAAAAAAUUGGAAAGGCUGGCAACAUAUCAUCAAAACUGAAACUAGAAUUAAACAAAACUAAACUAAAAUGAAAUAAAAUGAUGUCCAUUCUUAA